rnacentral:rRNA from 1 species
GAUGAACGCUGGCGGCGUGCCUAAUACAUGCAAGUCGAGCGAACGGACGAGAAGCUUGCUUCUCUGAUGUUAGCGGCGGACGGGUGAGUAACACGUGGAUAACCUACCUAUAAGACUGGGAUAACUUCGGGAAACCGGAGCUAAUACCGGAUGAUAUUUUGAACCGCAUGGUUCAAAAGUGAAAGACGGUCUUGCUGUCACUUAUAGAUGGAUCCGCGCUGCAUUAGCUAGUUGGUAAGGUAACGGCUUACCAAGGCAACGAUGCAUAGCCGACCUGAGAGGGUGAUCGGCCACACUGGAACUGAGACACGGUCCAGACUCCUACGGGAGGCAGCAGUAGGGAAUCUUCCGCAAUGGGCGAAAGCCUGACGGAGCAACGCCGCGUGAGUGAUGAAGGUCUUAGGAUCGUAAAACUCUGUUAUUAGGGAAGAACAUAUGUGUAAGUAACUGUGCACAUCUUGACGGUACCUAAUCAGAAAGCCACGGCUAACUACGUG